UCUUGGAAGAUGAUACACACCUUUUUGCAUAGUUCACACUGAAACAUUGUGUUGAUAAACAUUCAUCUUGUCUUUCGCUCCUAUCUGACUCUAAAA
rnacentral:snoRNA from 1 species